rnacentral:tmRNA from 1 species
GGACUGUAUGAAUUGAUUAACUUCAUGGAAAGUUGUCAAUGUGUUAGUCUAUAACGAAUUGCUGUAUAAUCCGUAUAACGGAACUAUAUUGGACGGGAGUUCGAUUCUCCCCAGCUCCACCAAAUACCUAAUAUGGGGCUGACUAGGUUUCGACAGUAUAUGGAAGGUAUACGGACAGCACAAGGAUGAUUGUUGGCCUUGUAAAAAAUCAAUCAAAUCACAAACGCAAACGAUUACGAUCUUGCGAUUGCUGCUUAAUAAGUAGCUAGGGUUUUGGUAGUUUUCCUCGUAACAGAAUAAACUACC